rnacentral:rRNA from 1 species
GACGAACGCUGGCGGCGUGCCUAAUACAUGCAAGUAGAACGCUGAAGGAGGAGCUUGCUUCUCUGGAUGAGUUGCGAACGGGUGAGUAACGCGUAGGUAACCUGCCUGGUAGCGGGGGAUAACUAUUGGAAACGAUAGCUAAUACCGCAUAAGAGUAGAUGUUGCAUGACAUUUGCUUAAAAGGUGCAAUUGCAUCACUACCAGAUGGACCUGCGUUGUAUUAGCUAGUUGGUGGGGUAACGGCUCACCAAGGCGACGAUACAUAGCCGACCUGAGAGGGUGAUCGGCCACACUGGGACUGAGACACGGCCCAGACUCCUACGGGAGGCAGCAGUAGGGAAUCUUCGGCAAUGGACGGAAGUCUGACCGAGCAACGCCGCGUGAGUGAAGAAGGUUUUCGGAUCGUAAAGCUCUGUUGUAAGAGAAGAACGAGUGUGAGAGUGGAAAGUUCACACUGUGACGGUAUCUUAACAGAAAGGGACGGCUAACUACGUG